rnacentral:lncRNA from 1 species
GUCCGGACACAGGCCCCAGGUGGCCGUGACGGCCCUGGGACGCCCUCUCCCUCCUGCCACAGGCGGGGCACGCAGAGGCACAGAGGCCCCGGGCUCCGUCCUCAGCCUCGGCUGGAGAAAGAAACAGGGAGAGCACAGUCAGAGGUGGUGGGAGGGGAGGAAACACGUAAUGUGGAUUGCGGAAAUGAAUGAAGACCAACACAACGAGAAAGCAAAGGCGCCUGGAUCAGAGUUUGCCAGGUUGCCGGCCGCCCUCGCGUGUGUUCCAGCGGAGACUCACGGCAGAGGAGAGGGAAGGCUUUGCAGUGGGACAAACGGAAGGCCCCGGGCGUGCCCAGCUUGGAGGCUGUUGGCCUGGAAGGCUGGAGGAGUGUUGACGUGACAGGCCCCAGGAGCUCCAAAGUAGGAAUUGCGUGGGGAGGGCCUCAGAGGCUGGCGUGGGGGCUGCCGGUGAGCCUGGGAGGGUUGCGGCAUUGUAGGUAGGACAGGAGGAAUUCCCAGUGGGAACCACAGUGACCGUAAAAGGAGCAGCAUUCUUUAAAACAGAGCUUCUCAAACUGCGAUGUUCCCGGAAGCACGCAGAGGCCCUGUGCGAAUGCGGACGCAGGGCAAGGCCGCUGGGCUCUGUGCCUGGGCAGCGCUGUGCCUUCGGCUCCCAGGUGCUGCUUUCGGAAGCAAGGAUUUGGGGCAUCGCUGCGUUUCCUGCAGCGCCGGCCUGGCCGGUUCUGCUGUAACACACUCCAGCCUGGACCCUUCGGUGGGUGGGAUUCCAUUUUCUUUCAAGAGAGAACUCCAUUUGAAAGCGUGGCCAUCCCGGGCGCUGUCAGCUGUUGGCCUGGCUUCUUUCUUCCCGGGCUUUGCUAUCAGCGCCUCUAUCCCGCAGCCGUUCAUUGUUCAUGCAUCAGGCGCACAGUCCCAGUGUUCAUUCUGCCAUUACCAAAACCACUGAAAUUGUAAUCACUGCUCUUUAAUAAUUCUGAAUAUCAAAGGAAGACAAUUCUCACAGAUCCAUGACCCCUCUGGAAUUGACUUUUGACUUGGCAUCAGGUUUCCUGUUUCCUCACAUGGAUAUUCCAUUGACCUAGCAUGUUUAUUGAAAAGAUCAUCCUUUCUUCACCACACUACAAUAUCACCUUUAUCAUAAAUCAGGUGGUAAAUGUGUAAGCCUGUCCUGGCUCUCUAUCAUGUUCCACUGGGAAGUUUGUCAACCUCACUCCAAAUACCAAAUUGUUUUAUUUACUAUAGCUUCAUAAAAAGUAUUAAUAUCAGGUAGUAUAAGUUCUCUAG